rnacentral:lncRNA from 1 species
CUGGAGUUUGAUGGACACAUAAAUAUGGGUCUCAAUGAGCCCUUAUAGUGGAUGUUGGCAACAGUUGGUCCACUGUAGGAGUGGAGUGCGCAUCAAGAUAGGAUCUAUUGACCUUGAUAGAGAAGAGAAGUCCUAUAGAAUUUGAGAGGCUAAGUCCAAGAGUUUGUGGCCACAGCAGUGUGAUUGAUGAAAAAGAGUUUUCAUAGAAGUCACAACUAGACUUGAGUUAAUCAAUCUAUCAUAUGACUGAUAUUGAGGUUUGACGAUUUAUCCAUGACCUGCCAUCU